rnacentral:lncRNA from 1 species
AUCCCAAAAUAUUAAUAAAUAAAAUAAACAAAAAAGAGAAAUAAACAAAAGUAACCUAACCUUUAUUUUGUUAUAACAAUAAAAGUUAACAAAUUCUUUAGUUAAGAAUGAUAGUACAUAAUUAUAUUUUAAAAUAUAUUUAAAUAAAUAUAUAUAUUAAAAUAUUUUUAAAUUAUCAUUUUAAUUUAUUUUGUGUUUUCCUCUUCAUUAAAAUGUGUUUCUCUCUUUUUAAUUCAGAACAAUAAACCAUAGUCACAGAAUGGAUCACAAAUGACAUUAGCUCAACUAAAAUUAGGCGCGCUUUUCGGAGAGGCGAUAGUGUCAAAUAUCUGAUCAAUGACGCUGUUGAGCAGUACAUCAGAAGUCAUGGUCUUUACUCUUCAACUGCACAAAACGCCCAAGAAAAGCUGCAGCUCAGUAAAAUCUCCGCCUUGAAGACUUCAGACAGGUCGAAGGAGCCUUACGUUGGUAUGAAAUCUUUCAUUCUAAAAAAAUGCAAACGUUUUCUGGACUCGAUCAGAAAAGUUGAUUUCUUGUUUAGCAAGUAGUUCGUUGAUGCUCUAAAUCACGUCAAUACCACUACUUUGUAUUCAAUCAUGGUUUCAGAUUCUUCAUUUUACAUUUGUUGUUCGGUCUCAUCAAGGUUUAUAUUGUUUUAGUUGUGUCAAGAGAAAAAUUUUACAUUGACGUAUUUAUCAUUCGAAGCUAAUCUCUUAAGAAAAUUUGUUGCUCCAAUAAGUAUGGUGUUUAUCAUUAUCUCAGUGUCUUAUUAUCAGUUGCUCAUCGUUCAUUGUUAGUUGUUAUGUUGUAAUUUUUAUUAAAUUUUAAUUCUAUGGUGAUUAAAAGCCAGUAUUUUUCUUUAUUAAGUUUUCUAGCACUCUGUUUUUUUUUUUUUUUUUUUGUUAGAAAAGAUACAAGGUAUAAAAUUCAAUGUUUCCUGUAGUCUGUGUUCAUUUUUUGACGUUCAGAAGAGUACCCCCUGCUGAGGAGAUUUUAUUAAAGUUAUUGGAUCAUAAAUAGGAGUUAAUGGACCAUUAGCCAAGAAUAUAAUUUACGCAUCAAUUGAAAGUUGCAUUUUCGUCUUGAUUGGCCUUGAUUAUUCAUGAAUCAGUUACAUCAAUCCUCUCCCCUCUUCUUUUAAAAUAUCGUACAAAUCUACCUUUUGCAAAGUGUUGAAACCCCAGUAGCAGCUUUAAAAAGAACUACUCAAUUUCAAUUUUUUUUUUAGUCCUAAAAAGUCGGUUAAAGUGCUUGUUUCAGGAAUUCCACGUUGAGUAUGUUUUAAGUAAAAUUUAGGAGAGGUAAAAUUUAAGUGGAAAAGUGUUGAAAAUCUCUUCAAAUAUCAACUAAAUUCUAGCAACAUUGAAAAUGUUUGAAAGAAUGUUUAAGAAACUCUUAAAAGUAGUUGCAAUUUUUCUUAGACUUUUUCACGAAAAUCUCACAAAGAGGUAAACUUAACUUAAAGAAAUAUGAACGAGAAGAGUUUCUAAAAAAGAAUAUGUCAGCAGUUUUUUUUCUGAGUGAGGAGGGUAUAGAUUCGAUGGACAUGAAUCGAUCGAAA